rnacentral:lncRNA from 1 species
CACCGAAUCAGUGAGGAUUCAGUAAUACACCUGUCGUUAAGACUAAUUAAUGAAUUAAUACGUUUUUGACGACUGGCUAUGGAAGCUCCUGCAUAAUAUCACGUGUUAACGAUUCAUCUGUACAAUAGACCUACCAAUAGGACCAAAAAAAUGAAAAAGGGACCGUUGCAUUUUUUGGGUCGAAAGAACCAGUCUCUCUUCGACACCAAUAUUAAAAUCAAGGAGAUGGACAAUGUUGAGCUCAUGUUGGAUUCAUCAGCCAUUCCUGAAUCAGGCACUGCCAAAGUGAGGUCCAGACCCAUAGUCAAGCACUACAUGUCCUCUGAUGUUGUGCAAGGGUUUGCUGUCCCAACACCCAAAGUUCCUGUCGCCCCCCUUUUCAACAGUCCAAAGAUCAACAGGGCAGCAAUGGGCCACGGUCAAAGCAGGCCUAUGGCAUGACCUUCAAGGUACAACCCGGAACCAAACAACCAAUCACUGUUGUCAGCAAAUGAGGAUCCAAGUCAAUUAUACCACACACUACCAUACAGCCCCGUCAAGAGCAAGGACAAUGGAAAGAGGGAUCUUUAAAUACUGCUAAAAUGGAUAUAACCAAUAAACAUGUAUGCCAAGGAUUUUUUCACCAAGCCCCUGGAGAAAAUACUAAAAUGUGCUAAGCAUUUGGCUAGAAAAGGUUUUGCUGUACCACAGCACAUAAACCUUCCCUCCAGAGGUGCUGUGUCAAAUAGCUUCUUGUCUAGGUGCCAAAGUCUAAAGAGUGGGUGGACUGUUGGAACAGCUUUCAACAGUAUCUUUUACUGCUACGGUUUAAUCAGUGCUAGUACACUGCCUUAUUUUUACCUCGGGUAUCGUUCUGAGCUAAUAGAUUCAAAGCCGAUUGUGAGGCUGUUUUUAAAAAUAGGAGCUGUAAUUUGCCAGCCUUAAUAUACACUGAAUAAUGCAUCAUAAGGAUAUUUAUAUAAAUGUCUUGAAGAAUUACUAUAAGGAUGUGUACAGAUUGUUUUUGCUUAUGUUUCCAUUAUGUCACAGUACCUGUACAUACUGUAUAUUUUUAGAGCAUAAAGGGAAUUUAACUAGUCUACUGCAAUACAUUAACACAAAUGUUGUAUAUUGUUCACUAUAUUAUGCUUAACAAGGGUGCAACAACUAUGUAAACUGUUUAUCUUUUGAUCAUCUACUUCAGUCAGGUGAGCAAGAUAAGUUCCAUACAAUAGAGGACUAAAUAGAAGCAAAACAGAUGUCAGCCAUUUACCACAUAAGGACAGGAGAAGUAAUGUGGUCUCCAUGGUCUGUAGAACCCAGUGGCCAGUUUAUUUGGUACACCACCCCAGUCACGAAAAUAGUUAGCACCUACAGACAGUCAAGUGGCUGUGGUUUGUUAUAUAACCGAACAUUAGAAUGCGCAGAAUGAGUGACCUAAGUAACUAUGAGCGAGGUAUGAUUGUCGGUGCCAGGCGCGCCGGCUCUACUAUAUCAGAAACAACCAGCCUCCUGGGCUUUUCAUGCACGACUGUCUAUUGGUUUACAAACAAAAACCGAUCCAGUUAGCGGCAGUCCUGUGGGCGAAAAAACAGGUCGUUGAUGAGAGGUCGGAGGAGAGUGGCAAGAAUGGUGCAAGCUAACAGGCAGGACACAAACAGGCAAAUAACGGCACAGUACAACAGUGGUGUGUAGAACAGCAUCUCAGAACGCACAACUCGUCUGUCCUUACAGCAGCAGACGACCACACCGGGUUCCACUCGUAUCAGCUAAACACAAGCAGGUCCAGUGGGCACGCCAUCAAACACUGGACAAUUGAGUGGAAAAACAUUGCCUGAAAAUUAUAUUUCAGAUGGUGUCAAUUUAAUUUAUUCAUUUUGGAGUAGAACGUUCUUAAAAGUCACCAGAAGUGACCUAAGCAGUUAAUAAAUACAGAGGCAUGCCCCUGCACGCUACUUUUGCCAUUGUGUCUGUCAUUACUAAAGCUGCUAAUUUAUACAAAAAUAAAUGUAUAGUUUUUCAUGUAGUUAAACCAUUAUGUAUCCAAGGCUGUUGAUAUCUCCUUACAGGAGUGUAAAUUGACAUGACCAUCUGAUUCUUGGUAGCUUUGGCAUAUUCCAAGUCCUUUUAGAAUGAUUUGGCACAAAAGCCACCACAUUCAGAAACAA